rnacentral:rRNA from 1 species
CCUACGGGGUGCAGCAGUGAGGAAUAUUGGUCAAUGGCCGGAAGGCUGAACCAGCCAUGCCGCGUGAGUGAAGAAGUAUUUCGGUAUGUAAAGCUCUAUCAGCAGGGAAGAAGAAAGACGGUACCUGACUAAGAAGCCCCGGCUAACUACGUGCCAGCAGCCGCGGUAAUACGUAGGGGGCAAGCGUUAUCCGGAUUUACUGGGUGUAAAGGGAGCGUAGACGGCUGUGCAAGUCUGAAGUGAAAGCCCAGGGCUCAACCCUGGGACUGCUUUGGAAACUGUGGAGCUAGAGUGCUGGAGAGGUAAGUGGAAUUCCUAGUGUAGCGGUGAAAUGCGUAGAUAUUAGGAGGAACACCAGUGGCGAAGGCGGCUUACUGGACAGUAACUGACGUUGAGGCUCGAAAGCGUGGGGAGCAAACAGGAUUAGAUACCCUUGUAGUC